GCACUGAUGAGGAGUCCCACAAUAGGACGAAAUGGCCGUGCAGUGC
rfam:Schistosoma mattheei strain Denwood, Zambia genome assembly, scaffold: SMTD_contig0015844